rnacentral:lncRNA from 11 species
AUUCCGGUCUCUUUCACUUUCAUUUUCAUUGAAUGUAGGGAGGAAACCAAGCCAGCACAAAAAUCAGCAGACUGCUUCCUGCUCUCUUCUGGAACAGAAGAUAGGAAGAAAGAGGAUGAAACUGGACAAGAAACACAGCAAGAAAAGAAUGAUCAUGCAAAAGCAUGCCAGACCAAAAAGGAGGAUACUUGUAAUAUCAAGGACCCAACCAUGAUUUUGGAGAAAAAUGUACCAGAAAACCCAGCUCUUCCCAUGUCUCCUGUACCAAAGGAGGACAAGAACCCAGAAGACGACUCACGCUGGAGAAGUGAGGCACUUGAGGAUAUUCUCUCUGAAUUAAAAUUGUUGAAACAAAAAAGCAAGAACAUGACACUGCAAGAAACCCUUGAAAUCAGUUCUGGAAGUUUAAAGCAUUGUUCUCCACAUAGCCUAGAAGAGCUUCCUUGGCAUUUUCUGCGGAAAGUCCUGGCUUUGAAUGUGAGCGCCCGGAACACAAACCUUGACCAGGGGACAGCUGGUGGAGAAGGUGUGAGAGGAAUGGAUAAAGAAAAGACAAUUGAUGAUAGAGUAUUCAAUAUUACUGAGAGGGAUAUAGAUUUGUCUAUGAACCCCCUUGAUGUCCUUUGUGCUCUUCUGCUUUGUUCGGAUAGUUUCCUUCAGCAAGAUAUCCUCUCCAAAAUGUCCCUGUGCCAGUUUGCCCUGCCUUUGCUUCUGCCACCCUUAGAGACUUCCAAAUGCACCCUGAUGAUUUGGGCCAUGAGAGACAUUGUGAAGAAAUGGAGGCCCCAUUCGCUGGCUGGAAGCAGAGGCUUUAGGGAAGAGAACCUGGUAUUGAUUCCCAUGCCAAUAAUAUCCUUGUCAAGCUAUAGAUUAAAUGAUUUUGAAGUAAAUGAUGACAAUUUGCAGUUACCCUGGUUGAAAUAUCUAAGUUUUAAUUUAGAGGCUCGUAAGAUGAGGAUACAAGAAAUAUCUCUCUCACUGAUAUACAAGUACAUUUCAUAUAUGGAUGAAAAAAUCAGUUCCAAAAGAGAUUAUGUUUCAACAUACUGUGGAGAACUUCUCAGUUUCAUUAAUCAGAACCUUCAAGAGGAUGAUGUUAAAAAACUUAAUACGACAUCUGCCUUUGAAGUGGACCUGAAGCUUCACAUUUUAGGAGAAUCAGCUUACAAAUUCCAGCAGAUGCAUAAAGAUUUCAUUGAAGAAAAUGAUCACCAGAAAAGACUGGAGCAACUGAAACCUCAUUAUUUUUCCAUUUUCAAAGAUCUUUAUCAGAAAAAAGAUGCCCAGCAAAUCAGAGCCAAAGGCUUCUGUGACAGGUGUCUCCAUCCUGCCUUAGAAGAGCACAUCAACAAAAGACUUGGGAUAGAAAUAAUAGAUCAAUUUCGUAACAGUGAACGUUCAAUGGAAUGUUCUGGUCGGAACUUCUUUCAGUUUACACUCUUGAAGGAGCUGUUGGAUAAAUGGAAUUUUGACCAGUAUGUAGAAUCCAUCACAAACUAUGAACAGUUUGUCAAGAACUGGAUCCAGAAACGAGUGAUAGAUUCCUAUAUCAAAAAUGAGAAUUUGAAGAACUUGGAAAAAGACAUUCUUUCAGGAGUAAUAGCAAAAGUUAAGAAUGCACUGGACAUCCUAAGUAAUAAAGAGAUUGAAACAUUCUCUAAUUUUGUGGACAAUAUUAGUCUGGAACUGCAAAAAGCCUUGGCCAUAUCUAAGAGUAAACUAGUAGGAUUAGAGUUGAGGAGUGCAUUUGAUCCUAGCAACUUCUCUGCUUAUGUUGAGAACUAUCUUCAAGAUUUGCAGAAAGAGAUACUCUCCACAUUUGAAUCAUUAGAUAUUGAAUCCAAGCUCUCAAGAUUGUCUGUGAAACCCCAGGAUGAGAUCUUCAAGCAAGUGUUUGGCUGCGGGAAGCAGUGUCCCUUCUGCAAGGUCCCCUGUGAAGCCGGCGGUGCUGCCCACAAGGAGCAUUUUGCAGCUGUCCAUCGCCCUAAAGGAUUAGGAACAUACAGAUAUGAUACCACAAAAAAGCUUGUUAUUGAUAUAUGUUCUUCUUCUGUAGCCUCCCAAGUCUCUUUCAGAUGUCCAGAAACCAAUUGGGAAUGGCAUCCGUAUAAAGAUUAUCGUAAGAUUUUUCCUGACUGGUGCAUCCAACCUGAUCCCAGUCUCAAUGCUUCUGAUUACUGGAAGUUUGUUUUAAAAGAGUUCAAUAAUGAGUUUUCCAAAAAGUAUGAAUGUAAACCAGCAGAUUUGCCUAAAGACUGGAAACAGAUAACAAAAGAACAGGCUCUCCAAGCCUUGAAGGAAUCUUAUAACAUGAAAUAGACAGCUCUCUUCUGAGUAAACAAUAAAUAUCUGAGGUUUGAAUUAUAGAGAAUUGUUUCAAUCAAAGGCUUCUGUUUUUGAAAUUUCUCUUUUGUACAUAAUUUCUUUAAAAAAUAUGAUAGGGUAUCUGGAUCCCUGGAAGAAUGGAAGGUAUGCAUAUCAUAAGCUUUUCCAGCUGCACAUUAGCUUUACAGUAUUAGGAAUAUAUUGAGAAAGUGGAAAACCAUAUCCAUGAUGUUUUUCCCACUAACUUCCAUGACCAGAGCCAGAAAUCAUGCCACAAAUUGGGAACUCCAUCUAUACAACAGUUAUUGCGACCAUCAUUUCCAUUGAAAGAUCCACUCAGAUCCCAAUAUCAAUUAUUUUGUUUAGUAGAAACUGAUUCCAUCAUAAUUUUGCCAAGAAAGGCUGAAACAAAAAUGUUAAUCCCUUUUCUGUUUUCCUUUCCUAAUGUUAUAUUUAUUUAUACCACGCUUUAUCUUUCCCAAAGGAAACUCAAAGCGGCUUAAUAUAAAAACAUCAACAUACAACAAUUUCAAAUAUACAAAUAUGCAAACAUUAAAACAGAAUUAAAUAUAAACAGUAUUAAAACAUACCUAGUUAAAAACCGCUAAAUCAUGCUAUGAGUUAAAAACCACAGUGUUCCUCUGUCAAAACUGGAAAAAUGUAAGCAGACACACAUAAAACCCUGAAGUAUUUGACAUCUUGAAAGAAACCAGAAUAUGAAAAGAAAUUACUUUCUCCAGUAACUAGCAAAAAAUUAGAAGGCAAUGUUAUAAUAAUAAUAAUAAUUUUAUUUUUGUACCCCGCCACCAUCUCCCCAGAGAGACUCGGGGCGGCUUACAGAUAUAAAACCAACAUACAAUAAUAUCAAAUACAAAAACACACAAAUAAAUUUAAAAAGCAUUAAAAAUCACAGUCAUUAUAAAACAUUUGAGAAACACAGCAAUAAAAACAUAAAAUGAGCUGGGCAAAGUGCACUGAGUGGAACUUGUAAACAAGAAGGAAGUUAAGGUGCUACAAAGUCAUGGGAAGAGCUUUAGACUGGGGUGAACACUGAAGCUAUGUCAAGGAGUUAACCAAGAGGUACAACUGGUCAGAAGAACCCGUUAGUACCAGGGUUUAAUAUACAGUGGGCGGAACUUCUUCAAAGGCCUGUUUGAAGAGCCAGGUUUUCAGGCUCUUCCUGAACACUUCCAAGGUGGCAGCUUGCCUAAUUUCCCUGGGGAGCGCGUUCCAGAGCCGGGGGGCCGCCACGGAGAAGGCCCUCUCCCUCGUCCCCACCAACCGCACUUGUGACGGAGGCGGAAGCGAGAGGAGGGCCUCCCCCGAUGAGCGAAGAGAUCGUGCGGGUUCGUAGGGGGAGAUGCGGUCAGAAAGGUAAGUGGGUCCCAAACCGUUCAGGGCUUUGUAGGUCAGGACCUGCACCUUGAAUUGGGUCCGGAAGGUGAACGGCAGCCAGUGGAGCUCCUUGAACAGGGGAGUAGACCGCUCCCUGUAAUUCACUCCUGUUAGGAACCUGGCUGCCGCCCGCUGAACUAGUUGGAGUUUCCGGGCCGUCUUCACAGGCAGCCCCACGUAGAGUGCGUUGCAAUAAUCCAAUCUAGAGGUAACUAAGGCAUGGACCACCGUAGCCAGAUCAGACUUCACGAGGUAUGGUCGCAGCUGGCGCACAAGUUUUAGUUGUGCAAAGGCCCUCCCGGCCACCGCCAGCACCUGAGCCUCAAGUGUCAGAGAUGAGUCCGGGAGGACCCCCAAGCUGCGGACCUGCGCCUUCAGGGGGAGUGCGACCCCGUCAAGCACAGGUUGCCACCCAAUACCCCGAUCAGACACACGACUGACCUGGAGGACCUCUGUCUUGUCAGGAUUAAGUUUCAGCUUGUUCGCCCUCAUCCAGCCCAUCACAGCCGCCAAGCACUGGUCCAGAAUUCGAGGGGCUUCCUUGGAGUUUGGUGGAAAAGAGUAGUAGAGUUGGGUGUCAUCUGCGUAGAGAUGGCACCACACUCCAAAACUCCGGAUGACCUCUCCCAGCGGUUUCAUGUAGAUGUUAAAAAGCAUGGGGGACAGAAUGGAACCUUGCAGGACCCCACAGGUCAAUGGCCAGGGGUCCGAGCAGGUGUCCCCCAGCUUCACCAACUGGGAUCGGCCCUCCAGGAAGGACUGGAGCCACUGCAGAGCAGAACCCCCAAGGCCCAUCCCGGAGAGCCGUCCCAGAAGGAUACCAUGGUCGAUGAUAUCGAAAGCCGCUGAGAUGUCCAAGAGAACCAGCAGGGUCACACUCCCCCUGUCCAGCUCCCUGCGGAGGUCAUCCACCAAGGUGACCAAAGCCGUCUCGGUACUGUGCCCAGGUCUAAAGCCGGACUGUGAUGGAUCCAGAAAAUCAGUGUCAUCCAAGAAUCCCAGGAGCUGAGAGGCAACCACCCGCUCCAGGACCUUGCCCAAAAAAGGAAGAUUCGAGAUUGGUCUGUAGUUAUUUAGGAUGGUCGAAUCAAGGGAGGCUUUCUUCAAAAUUGGCCUCACUAUAGCCUGUUUUAGGGCAGAUGGAAAUUUGCCUUGAUCCAGAGAGGCAUUAAUGAUACUCACAAACCAAUCUCCCAAUCCUCCUCUGGCCGAUUUUAUAAGCCAAGAAGGGCAAGGAUCCUUGGCACAAGUGGUCGCCCUCACAGCUCCAAGGAUCUUGUCCACGUCAUCCAGGUGAACAAGCUGAAACGAAUCCUACAAGAUAGGACAGACAGGUGCCUCGGUUAACUCACAUGGCAUUGCAUCCAAGCUAGCAUCCAAGUCAUGACGGAUCUGAGC